AGCGAACGCUGGCGGCAGGCUUAACACAUGCAAGUCGAACGGUCCUUCGGGAUAGUGGCGGACGGGUGAGUAACACGUGGGAACGUACCCUUAGGUUCGGAACAACACAGGGAAACUUGUGCUAAUACCGGAUAAGCCCUUCGGGGGAAAGAUUUAUCGCCUUUGGAGCGGCCCGCGUCUGAUUAGCUUGUUGGUGAGGUAAUGGCUCACCAAGGCUACGAUCAGUAGCUGGUCUGAGAGGAUGGCCAGCCACACUGGGACUGGGACACGGCCCAGCCUCAUACGGGGGGCAGCAGUGGGGAAUCUUGCGCAAUGGGCGAAAGGCUGACGGAGCCAUGCCGGGUGGAUGAUGAAGGUCGUAGGAUUGUAAAAUCCUUUCACCGGGGACGAUAAUGACGGUACCCGGAGAAGAAGCCCCGGCUAACUUCGUGCCAGCCGCCGCCGUAA
rnacentral:rRNA from 1 species